rnacentral:tRNA from 15 species
UGGGGUGUCGCCAAGUGGUAAGGCAGCGGUUUUUGGUACCGCCAUUCGGAGGUUCGAAUCCUUCCACCCCAA